CCUACGGGAGGCAGCAGUGGGGAAUAUUGCGCAAUGGGCGAAAGCCUGACGCAGCGACGCCGCGUGUGGGAUGAAGGUCUUCGGAUCGUAAACCUCUGUCAGCAGGGAAGAACGGUCACUGUGCUAAUCAGCAGUGAAUUGACGGUACCUGCAAAGGAAGCACCGGCUAACUCCGUGCCAGCAGCCGCGGUAAUACGGAGGGUGCGAGCGUUAAUCGGAAUUACUGGGCGUAAAGCGCUCGUAGGCGGUAUGUCAAGUCAAGGGUGAAAUCCCCGCGCUCAACGUGGGAACUGCCUUUGAAACUGGCAAACUGGAGUGUGUGAGAGGAUAGUGGAAUUCCAGGUGUAGGAGUGAAAGCCGUAGAUAUCUGGAGGAACAUCAGUGGCGAAGGCGACUAUCUGGCACAUAACUGACGCUGAGGAGCGAAAGCGUGGGUAGCAAACAGGAUUAGAUACCCCAGUAGUC
rnacentral:rRNA from 1 species